AAAAUUAAUAAAUAAGAUAGUCGUAUACACGUAUAUAUAUAUAUAUGACAUAAUGUUACGAUAACCAGACGUAGUCGCAGUAGUAUACAUUGUAUUGUAUUGUAUUGUAUUGUAUGGUAUAUAUAUAUAUAUAUAUAUACAUAUAUAUAUAUAUGAGUAGCAGCACGGUAAUGAUGAUAAAUGAUAAGUGGCGAGUCGUUUAUAAAAAAAAAAAAUUGAAAAAAAAAAAAAAAUUAUCGUUAUCGUCGUGUUCCGAACCCGUGGAAAUUGUCUUUGGUCCCGAUUCGGCUCAACAAUAACACACGAUAAAAAUAAAUUGCGCGCCGUUUUCGCGGCCGACGAUGCGUUUCCGCGCGGGAUAAAACAACCGGAACGGAUCGCGGCCGUUUCCCGACGACUCGGCGGAAAAACUUCUCGGUCGAAAAUAACUCUGCCCCGUUUUGCAGUCGAAACCGUCGGUUUCGUUUUGUGCCCAAGGGUCGAAAAAAACACCCCCCCCCCCACCACACACACCUCCGCGGGAUCGAUAAAUUACCGAGUGGGGGGGGAGGGGCGGGCGGGUGGGCUGGCUGGCUGGCGAAGGAGGUCUCCGCGACGCGCGAACCGCCGACGCCGGGCCGUCUUCGGGGCGGUUUUCUCGUUUAAAUAUUAUGUUUUUUUUUUUUUUUUCAAACAACCCGCGAAUUUUUCUCCGCGUACGCGCCCAAACCUCGGUUACCGUGCGACGGCACGUAAUUCGCGCAUAAUUCCAAUUAUUUAUGUCCCUAUUCCCCUGUUGCGCGCGGAUCGUCCCGCCGCGGUAUUCCGGUCCGCGUACGUGUUUAUGACCGCGUACACCACCCGCACACACCGCCCGCGAUGUAUUCGGUCCGCCCCACGCCUCCCACCCCCACCACCGUCUCCGAUUUCGUUAUCGUACAUUUUAUUACGGUAUUUUUUUUUUUUUUUUCCCCAAUCUCUCGAGACGACGGACCGCGUCAGUAUGAUGUUUUUUUACCCGCGGCGGCAUUUGAUUUUUUCCCUCCGUAACGAUUUUCACGAAACCCGGGGAACCCAGUCACCCCCUCACCCCCCUCCCACUACAUAUAGCCGCGAAAGGGGCGCGUAACGGAAAAAAUAUUUACCCGUCCCCGCGCCCGCCGUUCGCGCGAGAAAAAAAGGAGCGUGAGAGUAGGGCCGAAUCUUUAUAUCAGUUAUUAUUUUAUUAUUCUCAUUAUUAUUAUCGUUGUAUACGCCCAUACAUAUAUACUUACUGGUCUGUUGUUACGUAAUUUUUUAACCUUUUUUUAUUAUUAUUAUUAUUAUUAUUAUUAUUAUUAUUGAGCAAGUCUAUAUGUACAAUAGUGUUUGCGAGUGUGACCGCGACAGGGAAAUGCGAAAAAAAAAAAAUCAAAACCUGUUGUCGACCCGUUAUUUUCAUUUGUAUAAUAUUUAUUACAUCAUUACGAUAUUUUCGAUUUUUUUUUUUUUUUUUGAUUUUUAUUAUUCGUACUUUUAAGUGUAAUAUAUAAUUAUAAUUUAUAGUCUCUAAGUGCCAAAAUAUAUAAAAAAAAAAAAAAAAAUGUAUUUGACGAACCCGCGUUUUUGAUAAAACGUCACUCAUUAUGGCCGGUAUGUGCCGAAUGUAUUAUAAUAAUUAUAUGUAAAAUGUGUAUUCUCGAACGCUUGUGUGUGCCUAACACUAAAAUUUAUUGUUUACAUUGUGAGCACGCGUUUUGAUAAACGGAAAAGAAAAACAAAACGACUCGGAGCGCGCCGGUCGAUGUUUAAUUAUUGUACGUAAAAAAGCGAAAAUUCGACGCGAAAUUUUUUUUUGUCCGAAAUUAACGAUUCCGAGUCGAAAUCCGACCGGCGCGGCGGUGUAUAUAAGGGAAUAUUUCAAGAAUCGUUUGUUUUUGUUUUUGUUUUUUUUUUUCUCGUUUUCGUGACUUAAUAAUCGCGUAAAUUAUUAUUUAUUAUUAUUAUUAUUAUUUUUUCGUUCGUUUUUUUUUUUUUUUUUUUAUCACUGUAUAUUAUAAAAUUAUUAUUAAUUUUGUUUUUGAUGAAUUGUCACUCGCUCCCCUCCGCCCCACCAUUCCGUCAAAUCGGUGACCCAUGACUAAAACAAUUUAAUAUGUGUUUGAUGUAAACGCUGAUUAUUAUUAUUAUUAUUAUUAUUAUUAUUAUCAUUAUUAUUAUUAUUAUUAUUUUUUUUUU
rnacentral:lncRNA from 1 species